rnacentral:lncRNA from 1 species
CAAAUGGUGACUCCCUGCAGGGAGACAGUGUGGCGGAGCUGGUCCAAGUCUGCUGGAUCUGUCAUGGCCAGUUCGUACUGUAAGGGCACAAGGUGAGACCCAGAUGCAGACACGGGACGCAGAUUGUUUGAGUCUCUGAUAUUUAUUAGAAUCCAAAAAGGUUAGGCAAGAGAAUGGUUGUGGACAGGCAAAAGAUCAAAACCAGGCCAGAGUCCUGGCGGUACAGAGUGGCAGGCAGGCUCGAGGUCAGGGCAGGCAGAAUGGUCAGGCAGGCAAGUACAGAGUCCAGACAGGCAAGGGUCACAACCAGGGGGACUAGCAAAAACAGAGCGCUGGAGAAAGCGGGAGAACAGGAAAAACCACACUGGUUGACUUGACAAACAAGACGAACUGGCAACAUACAAGCAGGGAACACAGGAAUAAGUACCCAGGCACUAAUGAGGAAAACAGGUGACACCUGGGAGGUGGGUGGAAACAAUCACAAAGACAGGACAUUUUCAUCCAUUUAUUGCCUGCUCAAAAGCACCCAGGUUGAGAGGUUGAAGACAUAGUGAGAGGUGAGAGGAGGAUAAGAGGAUGAAAGGAACAGAGCAGAAAAAGAGAAAAGAAAACACAGGGCUCAGGGUCUGUGAAGAUCCAGAAGUUUGCAGACAGUGACAUCACACAGCAAAGUCUGCUUAAAGAUGAAGAGCCACCUGUGAGACAAAUGCUUUCAGUAAUUGUUCCAAAAGGAUUGGAUGCAAAACGUCAAUGGUAUCUCUAUGAUGAGAAGGCCUUCACUGCUGAAGAGUGUAGGGACAUCCCCACCCCUUUCCCAUCAGUCCCUAAUCCUGGGAGGAUGGCUUACUUUGAGGACUCUGACUGACUCUGAAAAUAAUUCAGUAACUUCGCACGCACACACACACACACACACACACACUAACAACUUAAAGAACUCAAGUAGAUCUAGGCCUACAGUAAUGUUUAGCAGUUACAUAAUUUAAAUACAAAUCUGAACUGUCAUUAUAAAUUGUAAAUAUAGUAUUAUAAACUGGGUGUGUCAAGCCCUGAAUGCUGAUUGGCUGAAUAUACACUGCUCAAAAAAAUAAAGGGAACACUAAAAUAACACAUCCUAGAUCUGAAUGAAUGAAAUAAUCUUAUUAAAUACUUUUUUCUUUACAUAGUUGAAUAUGCUGACAACAAAAUCACAAAAAUAAUCAAUGGAAAUCCAAUUUAUCAACCCAUGGAGGUCUAGAUUUGGAGUCACACUCAAAAUUAAAGUGGAAAACCACACUACAGGCUAAUCCAACUUUGAUGUAAUGUCCUUAAAACAAGUCAAAAUGAGGCUCAGUAGUGUGUGUGGCCUCCACGUGCCUGUAUGACCUCCCUACAACGCCUGGGCAUGCUCCUGAUGAGGUGGCGGAUGGUCUCCUGAGGGAUCUCCUUCCAGAUCUGGACUAAAGCAUCCGCCAACUCCUUGACAGUCUGUGGUGCAACGUGGCGUUGGUGGAUGGAGCGAGACAUGAUGUCCCAGAUGUGCUCAAUUGGAUUCAGGUCUGGGGAAUGGGCGGGCCAGUCCAUAGCAUCAAUGCCUUCCUCUUGCAGGAACUGCUGACACACUCCAGCUACAUGAGGUCUAGCAUUGUCUUGCAUUAGGAGGAACCCAGGGCCAACCGCACCAGCAUAUGGUCUCGCAAGGGGUCUGAGGAUCUCAUCUCGGUACCUAAUGGCAGUCAGGCUACCUCUGGCGAGCACAUGGAGGGCUGUGCGGCCCCCCAAAGAAAUGCCACCCCACACCAUGACUGACCCACCGCCAAACCGGUCAUGCUGGAGGAUGUUGCAGGCAGCAGAACGUUCUCCACGGCGUCUCCAGACUCUGUCACGUCUGUCACGUGCUCAGUGUGAACCUGCUUUCAUCUGUGAAGAGCACAGGGCGCCAGUGGCGAAUUUGCUAAUCUUGGUGUUCUCUGGCAAAUGCCAAACGUCCUGCACGGUGUUGGGCUGUAAGCACAACCCCCACCUGUGGACGUUGGGCCCUCAUACCACCCUCAUGGAGUCUGUUUCUGACCGUUUGAGCAGACACAUGCACAUUUGUGGCCUGCUGGAGGUCAUUUUGCAGGGCUCUGGCAGUGCUCCUCCUGCUCCUCCUUGCACAAAGGCGGAGGUAGCGGUCCUGCAGCUGGGUUGUUGCCCUCCUACGGCCUCCUCCACGUCUCCUGAUGUCCUGGCCUGUCUCCUGGUAGCGCCUCCAUGCUCUGGACACUACGCUGACAGACACAGCAAACCUUCUUGCCACAGCUCGCAUUGAUGUGCCAUCCUGGAUGAGCUGCACUACCUGAGCCACUUGUGUGGGUUGUAGACUCCGUCUCAUGCUACCACUAGAGUGAAAGCACUGCCAGCAUUCAAAAGUGACCAAAACAUCAGCCAGGAAGCAUAGGAACUGAGAAGUGGUCUGUGGUACCCACCUGCAGAACCACUCCUUUAUUGGGGGUGUCUUGCUAAUUGCCUAUAAUUUCCACCUGUUGUCUAUUCCAUUUGCACAACAGCAUGUGAAAUUUAUUGUCAAUCAGUGUUGCUUCCUAAGUGGACAGUUUGAUUUCACAGAAGUGUGAUUGACUUGGAGUUACAUUGUAUUGUUUAAGUGUUCCCUUUAUUUUUUUGAGCAGUGUAUAUAUCAGACCAUAUACCACAUCUAUGACAAAACAUGUAUUUUUACUGUUCUAAUUAUGUUGGUAACCAGUUUAUAGUAGCGAUAAGGCACCCCGGGCUUGCGUCGUGCCUAAGAACAGCCCUUAGCCGUAGAAUAUUGACAAUAUACCAUAACCCCUCGUUCCUUAUUGCUUAAUUACAUAAUCAGAAUAUUGUAAUUAUUGUAUAAUUAUAUAUAGCCUUUAAUAUAAUUAUUAUAGUUAAUCUUUGGUGAUCUUUCACCCUGUAUCCACCCUGUUAAUGAACUUUAAACUGAUGUGAAAAAUAAAUGAUACAAAGAAAUAAUAAUAUUGGCUCUGAAAUGUGUUCAUUCUACUGCUACCAAUAGUUCAACACGAUAGUUGUUAAAUAAUUUUUUCUAUGUGAUAUUUUAUUGCAAAUAAUAUGAAUAAGUGUUUCAAAAGAUAUAUGUAAUAAACAACCCAAUAGAGUGUUGGUGUUUUUCUUUCAGGCUUUCUUAGAAUUAGAAUGAAAUUCAAUGGAAUCCUUGAACGCAGUUUUUCUCUUUUUACUUUGGAGAUGUAGAUGACUUUCAAAUAUAA